UGGUGAUGUCUCCUUACCGUUAUCAAUGGGGGCACUCGGUCAUACUGUGGGUUAUUGAAAACCUUAGACGCAAGUCGUCGAGAGUGUGAUGUGAGGGAGGGUUAGAUGCCCA
rfam:Bacillus manliponensis strain JCM 15802 contig4, whole genome shotgun sequence.